AUUGAACGCUGGCGGCAUGCCUUACACAUGCAAGUCGAACGGCAGCACGGGUGCUUGCACCUGGUGGCGAGUGGCGAACGGGUGAGUAAUACAUCGGAACGUACAUUAACGUGGGGGAUAAUGCAGCGAAAGCUGUGCUAAUACCGCAUACGACCUGAGGGGGAAAGCGGGGGAUCGCACGACCUCGCCCGAUUAGAGCGGCCGAUGCCUGAUUAGCUUGUUGGUGGGGUAAAAGCCCACCAAGGCGACGAUCAGUAGCUGGUCGGAGAGGACGAUCAGCCACACUGGGACUGAGACACGGCCCAGACUCCUACGGGAGGCAGCAGUGGGGAAUUUUUGACAAUGGGGGCAACCCUGAUCCAGCAAUGCCGCGUGAGUGAAGAAGGCCUUCGGGUUGUAAAGCUCUUUUGUCAGGGAAGAAACACCGGCUCUAACACAGUCUGGGAAUGACGGUACCUGAAGAAUAAGCACCGGCUAACUACGUGCCAGCCGCCGCCGUAA
rnacentral:rRNA from 1 species